AUACAACUGUCACAAGAGACUGGGAACAUGGCCUGUCCAUACAACUGUCACAAGAGACUGGGAACAUGGCCUGUCCAUACAACUGUCACAAGAGACUGGGAACAUGGCCUGUCCAUACAACUGUCACAAGAGACUGGGAACAUGGCCUGUCCAUACAACUGUCACAAGAGACUGGGAACAUGGCCUGUCCAUACAACUGUCACAAGAGACUGGGAACAUGGCCUGUCCAUACAACUGUCACAAGAGACUGGGAACAUGGCCUGUCCAUACAACUGUCACAAGAGUACUGGGAACUUUGCUGCUGACUCUGGAAGACACAUACUCAUUUUAAAUAGGAAGCAGUUUAUAAAACUACAAAAAUUAAGUUCAUAACCAGAAUAAUGCAAUUCAAAGAGGUGAAUGUGUAUUUUACAGUGAAAUAGUUAUUUGACCCCUAUUAAUCCGAUUUCUGGCUCCCAGGUGUUAGUUUAUACACGUAAUGAGACGAGAUUAGGAGUACUCUCUUAAAAGGGAGUGUUCAUAAACUCAGAUUAUUACCUGUAUAAAAGACACCUAUCCACAGUAAUAAUAUUCCAAACUCUCCACAUGGCCAAAACUAUAGAGCUGUCUGAAGGGACAAGAUUGUAGACCUAGGCAAAGCUGGAAUGGGCAGAUUGGUGAGAAGUUUACAACAGCUGGUGCGAUUAUUUGCAAAUUUAAGAAACACAAAAUAACCAUCAAUCUCCUCAGAUGGGGCUUCCAUGCAAGAUCUCACCUUGUGAGCUUUCCAUGAAAACGAUCGCUGGUAUACUACACUGCCCUUAAAUACUAGUGCAGUUCAUUUCAGUCUGUCAGCAUAACACUGACAGGCAAUGAACCGAGCCAUGCUUCACAGCACAGCCAGGUACAGACAGCCAUGGCAAACCGGAACUGAAGAUCACAGAGGCCGGAGCUGAAGAUCACAGAGGCCGGAGCUGAAGAUCACAGAGGCCGGAGCUGAAGAUCACAGAGGCCGGAGCUGAAGAUCACAGAGGCCGGAGCUGAAGAUCACAGAGGCCGGAGCUGAAGAUCACAGAGACUGGGGUUGUUGCUGCAGACUGCAGCGAAUCCAUGCUCCCUGGGAAUGAAAACACUCAAGAUUUGAGCAAUAAAUUACGAUUUCCUGUACAUGGCCUAAAUAUAGAGGGAAAGGUUUACAGUAUGAACUUUCUAUAGAUAUAUCACUGGACAUUUCAUGAACAGGCUGAGAACUUGCAAGAACCAAUUGCUAACUUACUUACUUGUGUAGUCUUCUGUUACCUAUUGUUUAUUAGAGAGCUUUAUUGCCCAUUAGAGACAUUUAUUUUUCAUCCCAUUGUAUGCAUCAGUGGUUGUAUAGUCAGUAAUUGCAUGUAUGUGAUCAAAUAAAGCACUAUUUUAAAGUAAAACUGUAACUAACCCCUCCACGUAGUGCGGGGAACUCUGAUCAAUAUGCUGCCUACCAUGCCUGGAUCCAUCCAGCCGUUCGCUCAUUAUCUUCAUUUUCAAUUUACGCAAAUCAUCUGCCAACUGGCACGGAAGGGGCU